AUGGUGACUUGCACCUUUUCAAUGCAUUUUUUACUUCACUUCAUAAUUUGUCCUAUAAUUUUUAUAUGUACACUUUUCACCGGACGGAGGGAGUACAUCACAAAUCAUGAAUACAUUGGUGCAGGAUGGAUGCGCUCCUCUGCACUGCGCAAAUGGGUGGUGGGCAAGACGCUGGCCCCCGUUGCUGAUGGCGUGCUGGAGGCUUGGGGUGCCACCAAGGACUUGGAUCUCAACAUCAAGGCAUUGAGGUUGGAGCUGCUGCUCGUCCAGGCCAGCCUUGAAACCGCCAGGCGCAAGCAGGUCGAUGGCCCGGCCAUCCAGGAGCUAUUGGGGAAGCUGCGAGACUCCGCGCUCUCUGCAGAGGACUUGUUGGAUGAGCUGGACUAA
rnacentral:rRNA from 1 species